rnacentral:rRNA from 1 species
GACGAACGCUGGCGGCGUGCUUAACACAUGCAAGUCGAACGGAAAGGCCCUGCUUUUGUGGGGUGCUCGAGUGGCGAACGGGUGAGUAACACGUGAGUAACCUGCCCUUGACUUUGGGAUAACUUCAGGAAACUGGGGCUAAUACCGGAUAGGAGCUCCUGCUGCAUGGUGGGGGUUGGAAAGUUUCGGCGGUUGGGGAUGGACUCGCGGCUUAUCAGCUUGUUGGUGGGGUAGUGGCUUACCAAGGCUUUGACGGGUAGCCGGCCUGAGAGGGUGACCGGCCACAUUGGGACUGAGAUACGGCCCAGACUCCUACGGGAGGCAGAAGUGGGGAAUAUUGCACAAUGGGCGGAAGCCUGAUGCAACAACGCCGCGUGCGGGAUGACGGCCUUCGGGUUGUAAACCGCUUUCGCCUGUGACGAAGCGUGAGUGACGGUAAUGGGUAAAGAAGCACCGGCUAACUACGUG